rnacentral:rRNA from 1 species
GAUGAACGCUAGCUACAGGCUUAACACAUGCAAGUCGAGGGGUAACGAGAGGAAAGCUUGCUUUCCUUGUCGACGACCGGCGCACGGGUGAGUAACGCGUAUCCAACCUGCCCCCAACUAAGGAAUAACCUUGCGAAAGUAAGACUAAUACCUUAUAAUUUCCUCAGAUGUCAUCUGACGAGGAAUAAAGAUUUAUCGGUUGUGGUUGGGGAUGCGUCUGAUUAGCUUGUUGGCGGGGUAACGGCCCACCAAGGCAACGAUCAGUAGGGGUUCUGAGAGGAAGGUCCCCCACAUUGGAACUGAGACACGGUCCAAACUCCUACGGGAGGCAGCAGUGAGGAAUAUUGGUCAAUGGGCGAAAGCCUGAACCAGCCAAGUAGCGUGCAGGAUGACGGCCCUAUGGGUUGUAAACUGCUUUUAUACAGGAAUAAAGUUAGCCACGUGUGGUUAUUUGUAGGUACUGUAUGAAUAAGGACCGGCUAAUUCCGUGCCAGCAGCCGCGGUAAAAC